GACGUAGGUUGCGAGCGUUGUCCGGAUUUAUUGGGCGUAAAGAGCUCGUAGGCGGCUCGUCGCGUCGACCGUGAAAACCCGCAGCUUAACUGCGGGCUUGCGGUUGAUACGGGCGGGCUAGAGUUCGGUAGGGGAGACUGGAAUUCCUGGUGUAGAGGUGAAAUUCGUAGAUAUCAGGAGGAACACCGGUGGCGAAGGCGGCUUCCUGGACACUUACUGACGCUGAGGAGCGAAAGCCAGGGGAGCAAACGGG
rnacentral:rRNA from 1 species